CUCAACUCAACCUAGCUAGUAAUUAAUCCAAGAUGAAAGCAAUAUUUCUCAUAGUAUGCAUUCUCUUUGCUUCCUCUCUCUUUAUUCCCACUUCCACCAUGGCUCGACAACUAGUGGGUAUCCCUAUUAAGGCUCCCGCUGUACCUAUUCGAUGUCCCCCUGGUUCUCCGUAUCGAAGAUGCUUCCCUCCAGAAGUACCCAAAAAGAAGACUCCUCCUGAGUGUAAUCCUUACAGUCGUAAUUGCCAUGGCCUUCCUGGACCUUGAAUGGAGGAAAACUAUGGAUUUAUUAGCAAACAAUGCAAUGAAAGUAGCUAUAAAAUAAGCUGCCAACUACUCAUGUAUCGUUGGUAUAGAAAUAUGAACUUUAAGUUGCCCAUCAUUUGUAUUA